UAACACGUAGGGGGCGAGCGUUGUCCGGAUUUAUUGGGCGUAAAGAGCUCGUAGGCGGCUCAGUAAGUCGGGUGUGAAACCUCCAGGCUCAACCUGGAGACGCCACCCGAUACUGCUGUGGCUAGAGUCCGGUAGAGGAGCGUGGAAUUCCUGGUGUAGCGGUGAAAUGCGCAGAUAUCAGGAGGAACACCAACGGCGAAGGCAGCGCUCUGGGCCGGUACUGACGCUGAGGAGCGAAAGCGUGGGUAGCAAACAGG
rnacentral:rRNA from 1 species